CAGCCAGGUCCCCUGAACAGACCUUCCCUGCUUUAACCAUUCCAUGCCUGAAGUUGAAUCGCCUCUUUCUCUGCUGGGCGUCCCAGCGGAGGAAUGGCUGCCUUCCCGGAAAGCACGGAUGCUCUGCCCCUGUGGGAAUGGAGCAGGUGGAGCAGCUUCCCGGUGCAGCCAGCCUGCCGUGGGAGUGAGAUACGGCAGCGGGACCCAUCCAGGGAAGAGCUCGCUUGCUUUUGUGCCCCUGACUCAUUGGGACUGCAGGUGGUGAAACCAGUGCCUGGAGUAUAUGAGAUGGGUAGAGAUGGAGCCAGGCUGCAAAGUUCACAUCCAUCCCGGGGCAGGAUCUGUUCGGUGCCCAUCCCUGGGGCAGGAUCUGUGUCCGGUGCCCAUCCCUGGGGCAGUAUCUGUGUCCGGUGCCCAUCCCAGGGGCAGGAUCUGUGUCCGGUGCCCAUCCUUGGGGCAGGAUCUGUGUCCGGUGCCCAUCCCUGGGGCAGGAUCUGUGUCCGGUGCCUGUCUGGUGAAUCCAUCUCUAAGUCUGUGAAGCAAUGUGCUUAAUAGACUGAAAUCGCCAGGCUCCUUGAGUCAGUUCCUAUCUCAACACAAUAACACCGACCCCAGGUGCUAAAAACACUAGGAUUAAGCCCCUCCCCCACGCUGAUCAUGAGAUUUGC